rnacentral:rRNA from 1 species
AUUGAACGCUGGCGGCAGGCCUAACACAUGCAAGUCGAGCGGAUGACGGGAGCUUGCUCCUUGAUUCAGCGGCGGACGGGUGAGUAAUGCCUAGGAAUCUGCCUGGUAGUGGGGGACAACGUUUCGAAAGGAACGCUAAUACCGCAUACGUCCUACGGGAGAAAGCAGGGGACCUUCGGGCCUUGCGCUAUCAGAUGAGCCUAGGUCGGAUUAGCUAGUAGGUGAGGUAAUGGCUCACCUAGGCGACGAUCCGUAACUGGUCUGAGAGGAUGAUCAGUCAAGCUGGAACAGGGACACGGUCCAGACGCCUACGGGAGGCAGCAGUGGGGAAUAUUGGACAAUGGGCGAAAGCCUGAUUCAGCCAUGCCGCGUGUGUGAAGAAGGUCUUCGGAUUGUAAAGCACUUUAAGUUGGGAGGAAGGGCAGUAAGCUAAUACCUUGCUGUUUUGACGUUACCGACAGAAUAAGCACCGGCUAACUCUGUGCCAGCCGCCGCAGUAACAC